rnacentral:rRNA from 1 species
AACGCGAAGAACCUUACCAGGUCUUGACAUCCCGUUGACCACUGUAGAGAUAUAGUUUCCCCUUCGGGGGCAACGGUGACAGGUGGUGCAUGGUUGUCGUCAGCUCGUGUCGUGAGAUGUUGGGUUAAGUCCCGCAACGAGCGCAACCCUUGAUCUUAGUUGUCAUCAUUUAGUUGGGCACUCUAAGGUGACUGCCGGUGACAAACCGGAGGAAGGUGGGGAUGACGUCAAAUCAUCAUGCCCCUUAUGACCUGGGCCACACACGUGCUACAAUGGACGAUACAAACGGUUGCCAACUCGCGAGAGGGAGCUAACCCGAUAAAGUCGUUCUCAGUUCGGAUUGUAGGCUGCAACUCGCCUACAUGAAGCCGGAAUCGCUAGUAAUCGCGGAUCAGCAUGCCGCGGUGAAUACGUUCCCGGGUCUUGUACACACCGA